rnacentral:tRNA from 1 species
GAGAGCGUGACUGAUUGGAUAAAGUACCUGUUUGCUAAACAGAGGUCUACGUAACCGUAGAGUGGGUUCGAUUCCCAUCGCUUUCA